GCCCUGCUAGCUCAAUCGGUAGAGCGUGAGACUUUUACAAGCCUCGGCAGUAAAACAUCAUCGCGUAGAAUUCGGUCACGUGAUCUCAAGGCUGCGGGUUCGAGCCCCGCGUGGGGCU